CGGGAAGAAGAACAACAGGGAUUGCCUUAGUAACGGCGAGUGAAGCGGCAACAGCUCAAAUUUGAAAGCUGGCUCCUUUGGAGUCCGCGUUGUAAUUUGUAGAGGAUGAUUCGGCAAGGGCUCCCGCCUAAGUCUCCUGGAACGGAGCGUCAUAGAGGGUGAGAAUCCCGUAUGCGGUGGGCUGCCUAAGCCAUGUGAAUCUCCUUCGACGAGUCGAGUUGUUUGGGAAUGCAGCUCUAAAUGGGAGGUAAAUUUCUUCUAAAGCUAAAUACCGGCCAGAGACCGAUAGCGCACAAGUAGAGUGAUCGAAAGAUGAAAAGCACUUUGGAAAGAGAGUUAAAAAGUACGUGAAAUUGUUGAAAGGGAAGCGCUUGCAGCCAGACUUGUCCGCAGUUGCUCAGCCGGUCUCCUGACCGGUGUACUCUUCUGCGGCCAGGCCAGCAUCAGUUCGGGCGGUCGGAUAAAGACCUCGGGAAUGUAGCUCCUCUCGGGGAGUGUUAUAGCCCGGGGUGGAAUGCGGCCAGCCUGGACUGAGGAUCUCGCUUCGGCUAGGAUGCUGGCGUAAUGGCUGUAAGCGGCCCGUCUUGAAACACGGACCAAGGAGUCUAACAUCUAUGCGAGUGUUUGGGUGUCAAACCCAUGCGCGUAAUGAAAGUGAACGGAGGUGGGAACCCUCACGGGUGCACCAUCGACCGAUCCUGAUGUCUUCGGAUGGAUUUGAGUAAGAGCAUAGCUGUUGGGACCCGAAAGAUGGUGAACUAUGCCUGAAUAGGGUGAAGCCAGAGGAAACUCUGGUGGAGGCUCGCAGCGGUUCUGACGUGCAAAUCGAUCGUCAAAUUUGGGUAUAGGGGCGAAAGACUAAUCGAACCAUCUAGUAGCUGGUUCCUGCCGAGUUCUCCCUCUCGGGAA
rnacentral:rRNA from 1 species